UCUUAUGGAUGACCAAAAGAAAUAAUUUCUUGAGAUGGAAUCUAUUCCUGUUGAAGAUACUAUGAA
rnacentral:pre_miRNA from 2 species